rnacentral:rRNA from 1 species
UACGUAGGGCGCAAGCGUUGUCCGGAAUUAUUGGGCGUAAAGAGCUCGUGGGUGGCUUGUUGCGUCUGCCGUGAAAGCCCGUGGCUUAACUACGGGUCUGCGGUGGAUACGGGCAGGCUAGAGGCUGGUAGGGGCAAGCGGAAUUCCUGGUGUAGCGGUGAAAUGCGCAGAUAUCAGGAGGAACACCGGUGGCGAAGGCGGCUUGCUGGGCCAGUUCUGACGCUGAGGAGCGAAAGCGUGGGGAGCGAACAGG